CCGGUCUUAAUCCAAAACAAUACAAGGAAAACCCAGCCGCAGAGGCUGAAGCACGGUGAUAUCAGGAUUGGGUACUGGCAAACAUUUUUUGACUCGUACCAGUUCUAAAAAAGUCGCGGUAUUUCGAAUUGUUUUUGACAAGACACCAAAGUCAUAUACCAAUUAAUUCCAAGCAAAACGUUUGAGUACAUUUUCAUCUCUAUGUGCAACCAUCCAAAAACAUUCCAAUUAUAUUUCAAAUCAAUCACUAGGAAUUGCUCGUCAACUCAAUAGUGAGAAAUAGUUCAUUUGAGACUUUUAUCAAACACAUUGUAGAAUCCAUCCCCGCAGGAUUCUUCAGCAAGAAUGCCCGAUCUCGCGACCCCAUCGACCAGCUUAAAUCAUUGCUCUAGCUGUAACACACAGAAGAUUAUAAAUCAUCCGUUUCAGUGGUGAUUAAACAGACAAGUUCCAUCAACAAGAUUUGCACAUUUAACAAAUACCCAAAACCCCAGAAGCUUAAAAGAUUCAAUUCAAACCAAAACAGUAACAAACAUAGGUAAGAAAAAUAAAGGACUCUUUAAACUUUAUGUAAGAUUAAAAGGUGCAAAAUGAAUCGGCACAGGAGCUCCUGAAAUUUGAGCCAAAACGAAAGGCUUGAAAGUUUGAGCAAAACGUUAUAGAGUAAACUCAUCUCUAUUUGAGACCUUUCCAAUUAUAUUUCAAAUUAAUCACUAGGAAUUGCCCAUUUAACAAAUCCUUCAAAAUCAAACCAAAACAGAGAAAAAAAACUGAAACUUGAGUAAAAAUGUAAGGCGUAAGACUUUGAGCAAUAAAGUUAGUCAUAUUCAAACUAAUCACAAGGAUUUGCCCAUUUAACAAAUACUCUGAUUAAACCCAUAACCUCAAGGCAAAGUGGUUUCUUCUUCAACUUAACACUAAUAGUCUAAAAUUUCCAUAUACUAAUAAACAAGUCUUACAAGUUCAAUAGCUGAGAUAUGAAUAUGCAAAAUCAAAAUCUAAACCUUAUUACCAUUCACCGACAAUUACAAGUUCGAUAGUCGAAAUAUGAAGAUUGAACAUCAAAAUUCCAACUUUAAUAGUGCAUACGAGCAAUCUACAAGUUUGGUAGCUGAAAUACAAAGAUUAAAUACAAAAUUGAAACUUUUCG
rnacentral:lncRNA from 1 species